CCCUUAGAUGUCCUGGGCCGCACGCGCGCUACACUGAUGCAUGCAACGAGUUUAUAACCUUGGCCUGAAAGGUCUGGGUAAUCUUUUGAACGUGCAUCGUGAUAGGGAUAGAUUAUUGCAAUUGUUAAUCUUGAACGAGGAAUUCCUAGUAAACGCAAGUCAUCAGCUCGCAUUGAUUACGUCCCUGCCCUUUGUACACACCGCCCGUCGCACCUACCGAUUGAAUGGUUCGGUGAAGAUCUCGGACUUCGAUAUUUAUUCUUUAUUGAGUUUAUAUUGUGGGAAGUUAUCUAAACCUCAUCAUUUAGAGGAAGGUGAAGUCGUAACA
rnacentral:rRNA from 1 species